CUCCAGGAGAUCCAAAACCUACUUCUGAGUGAAACCUAAUAGCCUUUCCCAGUAAAGUCACGCUGGGAAACAUCUGUUAGGAAUACCAAUGUGUGUCGUCAGCAAGCCAGGAACCAAACCCGGAAGUGUUUCGAGUAGCAACACAUGGGAUUUAUGAGUAUUGUCCAUGAUGACCUGAAGCCUCCCUGAACGGGCGGGACUGUCUCCUUGAAACUUCUGGGAUUCUGUACAUCUGGGUAACUGUGUGCAGAUCCUCUUAUCUCUGUGUUCAUUCUGUUCCAUGCUUCACCCACAUUUGGGCCUUGGUUAUCUGUGGAAAAUAGAUACUUUUUUUUUUGCAGUC